GCUGGAAUAGCUCAGUUGGGAGAGCGGGGAGAGCGUUAGACUGAAGAUCUAAAGGUCCCUGGUUUGAUCCCGGGUUCCAGCA